UGACUGAGGGGUUAUUGAUAGGAGUGUCCUUCCUCGUUGAGACGAGGUCCCUUGGGUCUUUGAUGUAGUUUGUCUUUCACUUAUCGCUGGUGUAGUUCGUUGCUUUCCCUUUUCAUCUCUCCCUCUCUUUUUUUUGUGUUCGAGUGAGGGUUUUCCCUCAGCUCUUAACGGGAGGAGCCAUUGAGGAGGCUUUCCUCCUCGUCCAGUCU
rnacentral:lncRNA from 1 species